UCACAUUUAAUUUUGUUUAUUAGAAACUCAUGUCAUUCAUGCUCUGAUUCAUUAUUUAAAAACAUCUUGGUACAUAAUGGUUGGUUCAGUCCUUCUGAGGCAAGAAUCUGAGAGAGAUUUUGCAAAAGUUGCAAGGCUCUUAGAGUACACACAGCAAACCUGCUUGUUCAAUGACUGUCUUCCUUAAUUGUAUACAAGAUUCAUGAGUGGAACAAGAAAAUAGCUAGUGCUUUACAUGUAUCCUAGUCAGUUCAGUAAGCAGUUAGAUUUUUUUUUUACAGUAGUACAGUCUCCAGGCAAGUGCAAUUGCGUGUGCUUUAACCUUUCUCAAAAGAAAAAUGUUUCAUUGUAGACUGAGUGAUAUUACAUACAAAGUGACGUGUUAACCUAUCUAAAAAUAGUGCCGUGCUCAACGAGGCAACCACACCAUCAGUCGUCUGCCGAUUUCUUUUACUGCAGUGUCAUCAGUAACUGAGGCAUUCACAGUUGAGAUCAGAGGAGCCUCAAAUAGGGGGACACUGAGAACCUAGGACAUUACAUUGGCAUUGCAUGGUGUGUCCAAACCCCUCGCUAAUAUGGUGAAUAGGUGAACAAGUUGGGGUUCUGAAAGCAAUUCUAUGGCACAGAAGAAUUCUUGGAAGCUAGGUCAGGAGAAAAUAAAUGCCAGCGCUGAUGAAGCUGACAAAUUCAAGUACAUUCUUCAAAAUAGCAUUUGUCUCUGGCAAUAUAAUUUUAGUUUGGAGUGCAGCAAUAAUUGAAUUCCUGGGACUGAUUUGAUACAGGGUGACCAGCAAGAAGAAAAUCAAGCUCUUGCAUAACAAUACUGGGGCAGUUUUUGGUCCAUUUUGAUUUUGCUGUGAGGGUAUUGUGAACUAUAAAGAAUUACUGUAAGUUGUAGUAUGAAAUUCCAUGUUACUUGUUUAACAGCACAUUAAACUUAAUUACCUAAAGUUUUAUUGUGUUAUGUUAACAUUAAUAAAGUGUGUGGAGUGGAUUAUUUCACUGUGAGAGUCUGUAUGUAGUUCUCUGAAGGGCGACAAGAAACAACAAGCCAAAAUGCUAAUAGGUAUUGCUCAAGCUUAUUCAGAAUUUAUUAACUUUCUGUAGGGUGUGUUAAUGAAAAA